CCUGGCUCAGGAUGAACGCUAGCUACAGGCUUAACACAUGCAAGUCGAGGGGCAGCAUGGUCUUAGCUUGCUAAGGCCGAUGGCGACCGGCGCACGGGUGAGUAACACGUAUCCAACCUGCCGUCUACUCUUGGACAGCCUUCUGAAAGGAAGAUUAAUACAAGAUGGCAUCAUGAGUCCGCAUGUUCACAUGAUUAAAGGUAUUCCGGUAGACGAUGGGGAUGCGUUCCAUUAGAUAGUAGGCGGGGUAACGGCCCACCUAGUCUUCGAUGGAUAGGGGUUCUGAGAGGAAGGUCCCCCACAUUGGAACUGAGACACGGUCCAAACUCCUACGGGAGGCAGCAGUGAGGAAUAUUGAUCAAUGUGCGAGAGCCUGAACCAGCCAAGUAGCGUGAAGGAUGACUGCCCUAUGGGUUGUAAACUUCUUUUAUAAAGGAAUAAAGUCGGGUAUGGAUACCCGUUUGCAUGUACUUUAUGAAUAAGGAUCGGCUAACUCCGUGGCAGCAGCCGCGGUAAUACGGAGGAUCCGAGCGUUAUCCGGAUUUAUGGGUUUAAAGGAAGCGUAGAUGGAUGUUUAAGUCAGUUGUGAAAGUUUGCGGCUCAACCGUAAAAUGCAGUUGAUACUGGAUAUCUUGAGUGCAGUGAGGGCAGGCGGAAUUCGUGGUGUAGCGGUGAAAUGCUUAGAUAUCACGAAGAACUCCGAUUGCGAAGGCAGCCUGCUAAGCUGCAACUGACAUUGAGGCUCGAAAGUGUGGGUAUCAAACAGGAUUAGAUACCCUGGUAGUCCACACGGUAAACGAUGAAUACUCGCUGUUUGCGAUAUACAGCAAGCGGCCAAGCGAAAGCGUUAAGUAUUCCACCUGGGGAGUACGCCGGCAACGGUGAAACUCAAAGGAAUUGACGGGGGCCCGCACAAGCGGAGGAACAUGUGGUUUAAUUCGAUGAUACGCGAGGAACCUUACCCGGGCUUAAAUUGCAGAUGAAUUACGGUGAAAGCCGUAAGCCGCAAGGCAUCUGUGAAGGUGCUGCAUGGUUGUCGUCAGCUCGUGCCGUGAGGUGUCGGCUUAAGUGCCAUAACGAGCGCAACCCUUGUUGUCAGUUACUAACAGGUUCCGCUGAGGACUCUGACAAGACUGCCAUCGUAAGAUGUGAGGAAGGUGGGGAUGACGUCAAAUCAGCACGGCCCUUACGUCCGGGGCUACACACGUGUUACAAUGGGGGGUACAGAGGGCCGCUACCACGCGAGUGGAUGCCAAUCCCAAAAACCUCUCUCAGUUCGGACUGGAGUCUGCAACCCGACUCCACGAAGCUGGAUUCGCUAGUAAUCGCGCAUCAGCCACGGCGCGGUGAAUACGUUCCCGGGCCUUGCACACACCGCCC
rnacentral:rRNA from 1 species